UUGCUCGCUUCAGCAGCACAUAUACUAAAAUUGGAAUGAUACAGGGAAGAUUAGUAUGGUCCCUGCGCAAGGACAUACAAAUUCGUGAAGCGUUAAAAAAGAAA
ensembl:snRNA Gm24762 predicted gene, 24762